UUCAUACGGUGUUCUUAUGAAACAUGACGUUUAUUCCUGAGUUCAUUUUGGAGUGACAGCAGAAAAAAAGUGUAACUUAGAAGCAGCUCAAGCGGAACCCCGGAAAACGCUGGCUGUUGGCCAAUUUCAUGUCCAAAGAGUGUUUAUUCACCAUCAGCGAAGAGGAUGGGAUGCAUCGUCCCUAAAGUUGGUGGAAGAAGGAACAUCAGAAGGGGAGUUAUCACAGAGGGUCCUCAAUCAAUCGCACUAAAAGUCGGAGGGAAUUACGGAUAUACUUUACCCGCUUUACACGCGACAAGGCGGAGGAACUGGCACGCUGUGUGGCAAUAAAAUUUUACAGGAUGGAACCCGAGCCGGCCAUACGUGAGGAAUUGUGGACAAUGAUACAAUUAAUCGGGAUGGUGGAAAGAUUUUUAAAUAGGAGGACGGAAAGGGCAAUCAGUGGAAAUAAAAUGUUAAGCCUUCCUCGCUGACAUCGUAUUUAACAUCCUCAUUGAUAUGAUUACAAGACCAAUAUUUGAAAAGGACGCAACAACAGUCAACAUUUAUUCUUGUAUUGUUAUUCAGUUAUUGUUACUUGUUCAGUUAUUUGUCUAUGUAUAGCUAUUUAUGUAGGUAGAAGAGAAAUAGGAAACAAAAUGUUUUGGCUGUUAACGCGAAUUAUGAGACGAGCCAUUUUUAUAACUACCUCGAACAGGACGAUUUAGUUGAUGAAGAAUUGAAGAUAUUAGAUUGGACGGAAAAUGUUGUUUGCUCAGGUUUUACGUACUAAUGACUGUCAGAACGUUUGCCUUAAUUAUCGAUAUCAACUUUGUAUAGAGAUGAGUGACGUUUAGCGCCCGCACACUAAUGUGCAGUUCGGCAUGUGUAAAUACAUGUUUGUUUUCCUUCUGCUCAUAACCUCAAAAUUGAUCGGGUCAUCACAAUGAUGGGAAAGGAGUCAAAAA